rnacentral:rRNA from 1 species
GAUGAACGCUGGCGGCGUGCCUAAUACAUGCAAGUCGAGCGAACAGACGAGGAGCUUGCUCCUCUGACGUUAGCGGCGGACGGGUGAGUAACACGUGGAUAACCUACCUAUAAGACUGGGAUAACUUCGGGAAACCGGAGCUAAUACCGGAUAAUAUAUUGAACCGCAUGGUUCAAUAGUGAAAGACAGUUUUGCUGUCACUUAUAGAUGGAUCCGCGCCGCAUUAGCUAGUUGGUAAGGUAACGGCUUACCAAGGCAACGAUGCGUAGCCGACCUGAGAGGGUGAUCGGCCACACUGGAACUGAGACACGGUCCAGACUCCUACGGGGGGCAGCAGUAGGGAAUCUUCCGCAAUGGGCGAAAGCUUGACGGAGCAACGCCGCGUGAGUGAUGAAGGUCUUCGGAUCGUAAAACUCUGUUAUUAGGGAAGAACAAAUGUGUAAGUAACUAUGCACGUCUUGACGGUACCUAAUCAGAAAGCCACGGCUAACUACG